rnacentral:rRNA from 1 species
AACGAACGCUGGCGGCAUGCCUAACACAUGCAAGUCGAACGAGACCUUCGGGUCUAGUGGCGCACGGGUGCGUAACGCGUGGGAACCUGCCCUUAGGUUCGGAAUAACUCCCCGAAAGGGGUGCUAAUACCGGAUAAUGUCUUCGGACCAAAGAUUUAUCGCCUUUGGAUGGGCCCGCGUUGGAUUGGCUAGUUGGUAGGGUAAAAGCCUACCAAGGCGACGAUCCAUAGCUGGUCUGAGAGGAUGAUCAGCCACACUGGGACUGAGACACGGCCCAGACUCCUACGGGAGGCAGCAGUUGGGAAUAUUGGACAAUGGGCGAAAGCCUGAUCCAGCAAUGCCGCGUGAGUGAUGAAGGCCUUAGGGUUGUAAAGCUCUUUUACCCGGGAUGAUAAUGACAGUACCGGGAGAAUAAGCUCCGGCUAACUCCGUG